AUUGAACGCUGGCGGCAUGCCUUACACAUGCAAGUCGAACGGCAGCACGGGAGCUUGCUCCUGGUGGCGAGUGGCGAACGGGUGAGUAAUGCAUCGGAACGUGCCCUGAAGUGGGGGAUAACGUAGCGAAAGUUACGCUAAUACCGCAUAUUCUGUGAGCAGGAAAGCAGGGGAUCUUCGGACCUUGCGCUUUUGGAGCGGCCGAUGUCGGAUUAGCUAGUUGGUGGGGUAAAGGCCCACCAAGGCGACGAUCCGUAGCGGGUCUGAGAGGAUGAUCCGCCACACUGGAACUGAGACACGGUCCAGACUCCUACGGGAGGCAGCAGUGGGGAAUUUUGGACAAUGGGCGCAAGCCUGAUCCAGCCAUGCCGCGUGAGUGAAGAAGGCCUUCGGGUUGUAAAGCUCUUCGUGGGAGAAU
rnacentral:rRNA from 1 species